CCUACGGGGGGCAGCAGUUUCGAAUCAUUCACAAUGGGCGAAAGCCUGAUGGUGCGACGCCGCGUGAGGGAUGAAGGUCUUCGGAUUGUAAACCUCUGUCACUGGGGAGAAAACGCUUUGAGUUAAUAGUUCAAAGCCUGAUUUAACCCGGAGAGGAAGCAGUGGCUAACUCUGUGCCAGCAGCCGCGGUAAUACAGACACUGCAAGCGUUAUUCGGAUGCACUGGGGCGGUUGGGUGCGCCAGCGGUUGAAUCCCGAGGCUUAACCUCGGAACUGCGUCUGAAACGACUCGACUAGAGUACUGGAGAGGGAAACGGAAUUCACGGUGUAGCAGUGAAAUGCGUAGAUAUCGUGAGGAACACCAGAGGCGAAGGCGGUUUCCUGGACAGUUACUGACGCUCAGGCACGAAAGCAUGGGGAGCAAAAGGGAUUAGAUACCCGAGUAGUC
rnacentral:rRNA from 1 species